CCAGCCCUCUCCCUUCACCGCUUCACUUGCGGACACACCCACUGGACACCACACAACGUGAGCACACUCCUGGCGUCCCCCUCUCGCAGGCCUGACCUCGUCCGAUCCAGGCCGCUCACCCUGGGAAUCCAGCCGCCAGGUUGGGAGGAAGCGUGGGCCUCGUGAAGAGUCCACGUGAAGGUGUCCAGCUUGGGUCCCCACUAAUCACCAGACAUAUGAGAGAGAGAGCCUUCAGAUGACUCAGCCCCCAGCCCGGGAGCCGCCCCAGCUGACAAGUGUAGCAGAAAUGAGGUGCCUCACCAACCCUGUCCAAACUGCAAAAUAAAUAUUGUUGUUUUGAGCCAC